GAUGAAGAACGUAGCGAAAUGCGAUAAGUAAUGUGAAUUGCAGAAUUCAGUGAAUCAUCGAAUCUUUGAACGCACAUUGCGCCCGCCAGUAUUCUGGCGGGCAUGCCUGUUCGAGCGUCAUUUCAACCAUCAAGCCCCCGGCUUGUGUUGGGGACCUGCGGCUGCCGCAGGCCCUGAAAACCAGUGGCGGGCUCGCUAGUCACACCGAGCGCAGUAGCACAUCUCGCUCAGGGCGUGCGGCGGGCUCCUGCCGUGAAACCCCCCACUGUAACCCCAAAGGUUGACCUCGGAUCAGGUAGGAAUACCCGCUGAACUUAAGCAUAUCAAUAAGCGGAGGA
rnacentral:misc_RNA from 1 species